rnacentral:snRNA from 11 species
AUACUUACCUAGCAGGGGAGAUACAAAUAUCGUGUAGAUGGGUUUCCUAGGGUGAGGCUCAGUCAUUAUGCUCAGGAUGUGCUACAAUUUCCCUAAAUUCAGGAAACUCAGAUACACAAUUUGUGGUAGUGGGGAACUCUAUUCAUGCUCUCCUCU